UUCUAAGACAGCACUAUACAUAAGAAAGGCGGUGGUGCAUUUUAAUACGCUGUUUUUGUGAGUACUCUAAUAAGUUUUAGAUUAAUACUAGCAAUCUUACUGUAUUAAAAUGGAAUCAUAAGAAGAUUAAAUAUAACAUGUCUUACUCAAAGUGGAAUAACGCUAACAUUCUCCUUCCUUUUGGAAAGUGACAAAAGUGAGCCAAAAAGAAGACGCAGUACCUUCAAGAAUAAACAUCAAAGAAAAUAUUCUGGUGUGAAGAACAACAGCGAACAUAAGUGAGAGACAGUGCUAUACAGGG
rnacentral:lncRNA from 1 species